UUGCCAUUUUUUUCUGUUCUUCUUGACAACACAAGCGCGGUUGGGGAAUUUAUUAUGAGGGGGGAAGCAAGUGGAAACUCCCAAAACAGUCUGAGCAUACCCGCCAGCAUUAGGGACUUUUAUUUCAGAAAUUUUGCUACCGCAGCCUAUAAAAAUUACCGACAACCGAUUGCACAGCCCAUUUCCCAGUCGAAAAGAUACACACAGAGUGGUACAAUGUUGUAAUGUAGCCUAUAUCGUUCUGUCAAAUUAACAAUUAUGUUACAAUGUAACGAAAAAUGCGAGAUUUUACCUGGUAAGAAAUCACUUUCCUCUAAUCUUUCGUGGAUUGACAGUUUACAAUUUUAGCUAUGUGUGAACCGAGAUUACAAUGGUUCAAUCUAAACAAAAAGGGAUAGGCCUAUGAUAUGUAUGGAAGCAAUUGAUAAAAUACAAGAAAACUCUGUAUUUAGGCCUACACUAUAAACUAUACAGUUAGGUGUUAAUGUUAAGAUCUAAAAUGUUAUGGAAAUGCGUUUGUUAGAAAUGUAGGGCAGGCAGGCAGGCACGAGAUGAUGUUAUGUUUACAGUCAGUCAGAAAGUGGUUUAGAUGGGGAAUAACCCGUGAGAAUAACAGGGUCGAUGUGAAUGUGAUAUUUUUUUGCAUUAGCCUACACUACACUUCUUUCAUCUUUCCAUCACAUUUUCUUUUUAAUUAAUUAAGCGAAUGCAUAUUAUUAUCAUGUUUUAACAACACUGAAAUAUUUGUUUCUGUUAUUUUUGCAUGCUCUCUCAUCCAAGAAAGGAGCUUACAACUUCAGUUACAUGCUCUUAGCAAAUCUAUGUCAUGCUGUGCAGUGGAAAGGCUGUGCGUGUACUUGUUGAGCUCCAGGACCAUCACAGAGUAUGAGAGCCAGGUGAUCUGGUCCCAGAGAACAGACAUGGAGAAGGCUGCCAAACUGCUCCAGGUGGUGCUGAAGAAGGGUCGCAACGCCUGUCUUCUCUUUUUCGACUCACUAGAAAAGUGUUGCCAGUGCCCACCACAGUUCGAAAGAGUUACCGGUCUCCCAGAGAGGAGGAGGACCAACACUGCCCCAACUUACGUCAUCAACAUCAGCCAUUCCAAUUUGAGUAACUGCAUCAUUGGAGAUGGCAACUUUCAAGGAGUGACAACGUGUAUACAACAACCUCAGAGCAUGGGUUCAGAGGAUGCUAGGCAUGAGACAAUGGGAGGCAACAUCACCAGUGAUCACCAGAGAGCAGUACAGGCCUGUCUAGAUCCAGAGCUCCAGAGGAGUGUCCAGGUCUAUGGGUCCCAACUGCAGUAUGUCAUCAUCGGGGACAACAACAACCUGCAAGCUGAAGACACACCGGAAGAGGAAGAAGGGGAAGAAGAAAAACUCAUUAAUGAAAAUGCCAUCUCCUGCUGUUGUGCGCUUGAGCAAGUUACUGCACCACAGGCGACCGUGGCUCUCAAUCUCCAUGAGUGA
rnacentral:lncRNA from 1 species